rnacentral:rRNA from 1 species
AUUGAACGCUGGCGGAAUGCUUUACACAUGCAAGUCGAACGGUAGAGGGGGCAACCCCUCGAGAGUGGCGAACGGGUGAGUAAUAUAUCGGAACGUGCCCAGUCGUGGGGGAUAACGUAGCGAAAGUUACGCUAAUACCGCAUACGAUCUAAGGAUGAAAGCGGGGGAUCGCAAGACCUCGCGCGAUUGGAGCGGCCGAUAUCAGAUUAGGUAGUUGGUGGGGUAAAGGCUCACCAAGCCAACGAUCUGUAGCUGGUCUGAGAGGACGACCAGCCACACUGGAACUGAGACACGGUCCAGACUCCUACGGGAGGCAGCAGUGGGGAAUUUUGGACAAUGGACGCAAGUCCGAUCCAGCCAUUCCGCGUGCAGGAUGAAGGCCCUCGGGUUGUAAACUGCUUUUGUACGGAACGAAAAGGUCUCUCUUAAUACGGGGGGCUCAUGACGGUACCGUAAGAAUAAGCACCGGCUAACUACGUGCCAGCCGCCGCGGUAACAC